rnacentral:rRNA from 1 species
GAUGAACGCUGGCGGCGUGCUUAACACAUGCAAGUCGAACGAAGCAUUUGCGACAGAUUUUUUCGGAAUGAAGUUGCUUAUGACUGAGUGGCGGACGGGUGAGUAACGCGUGGGUAACCUGCCUUGUACUGGGGGAUAGCAGCUGGAAACGGCUGUUAAUACCGCAUAAGCGCACAAUGUUGCAUGACAUGGUGUGAAAAACUCCGGUGGUAUAAGAUGGACCCGCGUCUGAUUAGCUAGUUGGUGAGAUAACAGCCCACCAAGGCGACGAUCAGUAGCCGACCUGAGAGGGUGACCGGCCACAUUGGGACUGAGACACGGCCCAGACUCCUACGGGAGGCAGCAGUGGGGAAUAUUGCACAAUGGAGGAAACUCUGAUGCAGCGACGCCGCGUGAGUGAAGAAGUAAUUCGUUAUGUAAAGCUCUAUCAGCAGGGAAGAUAGUGACGGUACCUGACGAAGAAGCUCCGGCUAAAUACGUG